GAUGAACGCUGGCGGUGCGUUUAAUACAUGCAAGUCGAACGAGAAGCUGGAUUUAUUCAGUGGAAAGUGGCGGACGAGCGAGUAACACGUAAGAACCUGCCCUAUACUCAGGGAUAACGGUCCGAAAGGAUCGCUAAUACCGGAUAGUCCCGAAAGGGUAAAGAUUUAUCGGUAUAGGAGGGGCUUGCGGGCUAUCAGUUAGUUGGUGAGGUAAAGGCUUACCAAGACUAUGACGGCUACCGGGUGUGAGAGCAUGACCCGGCGCGAUGGGACUGAGACACGGCCCAUACUCCUACGGGAGGCAGCAGUAGAGAAUCUUCCGCAAUGGACGAAAGUCUGACGGAGCGACACCGCGUGGUGGAUGAAGGCCUAUGGGUUGUAAACACCUUUUCUAUGGGAAGAAGAUCUGACGGUACCAUAGGAAUAAGGACCGGCUAAUUACGUGCCAGCAGCCGCGGUAAUACGUAAGGUCCGAGCGUUAUCCGGAAUUAUUGGGCGUAAAGCGUCCGCAGGUUGUUAUAUAAGUCAGUUAUUAAAUACCGGUGCUCAACAUCGGUGCUGUAGCCGAAACUGUAUAACUAGAGGAUGGGAGAGGUAUAUGGAAUUGUGCAAGUAGGGGUAAAAUCCGUAGAUAUGCACAGGAACACCAAAAGCGAAGGCAGUAUACUGGACCAUUCCUGACACUCAGGGACGAAAGCGUGGGGAGCAAAAGGGAUUAGAUACCCCUGUAGUCCACGCCGUAAACGAUGCAUGCUCGGUGUAGGGACCCUCGACCUGGUCUCUGUGCCCAAGGUAACCCGUUAAGCAUGCCGCCUGUGAAGUACGAUCGCAAGAUUAAAACACAAAGGAAUAGACGGGGACCCACACAAGCGGUGGAACAAUGGGGUUUAAUUCGUCAAUAAGCGAGUAACCUCACCCAGACUUGACAUCCUGAUCAUAGAUUUUAGAGAUAAUUUCGUCAGUUCGGCUG
rnacentral:rRNA from 1 species